rnacentral:rRNA from 1 species
GAUGAACGCUGGCGGCGUGCCUAAUACAUGCAAGUCGAGCGAACAGACGAGGAGCUUGCUCCUUUGACGUUAGCGGCGGACGGGUGAGUAACACGUGGAUAACCUACCUAUAAGACUGGGAUAACUUCGGGAAACCGGAGCUAAUACCGGAUAACAUGUUGAACCGCAUGGUUCAACAGUGAAAGACGGUCUUGCUGUCACUUAUAGAUGGAUCCGCGCCGUAUUAGCUAGUUGGUAAGGUAACGGCUUACCAAGGCAACGAUGCGUAGCCGACCUGAGAGGGUGAUCGGCCACACUGGAACUGAGACACGGUCCAGACUCCUACGGGAGGCAGCAGUAGGGAAUCUUCCGCAAUGGGCGAAAGCCUGACGGAGCAACGCCGCGUGAGUGAAGAAGGUCUUCGGAUCGUAAAACUCUGUUAUCAGGGAAGAACAAAUGUGUAAGUAACUAUGCACGUCUUGACGGUACCUAAUCAGAAAGCCACGGCUAACUACGUG